rnacentral:rRNA from 1 species
AGUGAGCGCUGGCGGUAGGCCUAACACAUGCAAGUCGAACGGCAGCACAGUAAGAGCUUGCUCUUACGGGUGGCGAGUGGCGGACGGGUGAGGAAUACAUCGGAAUCUACUUUUUCGUGGGGGAUAACGUAGGGAAACUUACGCUAAUACCGCAUACGACCUACGGGUGAAAGCAGGGGAUCUUCGGACCUUGCGCGAUUGAAUGAGCCGAUGUCGGAUUAGCUAGUUGGCGGGGUAAAGGCCCACCAAGGCGACGAUCCGUAGCUGGUCUGAGAGGAUGAUCAGCCACACUGGAACUGAGACACGGUCCAGACUCCUACGGGAGGCAGCAGUGGGGAAUAUUGGACAAUGGGCGCAAGCCUGAUCCAGCCAUACCGCGUGGGUGAAGAAGGCCUUCGGGUUGUAAAGCCCUUUUGUUGGGAAAGAGAAGCAGCAGGUUAAUACCCCGCUGUUCUGACGGUACCCAAAGAAUAAGCACCGGCUAACUUCGUG